ACUCCUACGGGAGGCAGCAGUGAGGAAUAUUGGACAAUGGGUGAGAGCCUGAUCCAGCCAUCCCGCGUGAAGGAAUAAGGUCCUAUGGAUUGUAAACUUCUUUUGUACAGGGAUAAACCUAGAUACGUGUAUCUAGCUGAAGGUACUGUACGAAUAAGCACCGGCUAACUCCGUGCCAGCAGCCGCGGUAAU
rnacentral:rRNA from 1 species